rnacentral:misc_RNA from 1 species
AAAGCUUCACAUUGAAGAGCUUGUAGAUGUUUAUAGACUGGUUGAGGAUGAAUUAGAUAUACCUUCAGUAGCUGUUGAAGUUGUACGAGACUUUCCAAAUGUUAUCCGGGAUCUCAUGCUUUCAUGGUGUGACUCGGUCUUAUCUGACAGAUGAUUAAUGCUUGGUGUGGCAGCAUGUAUAAAAAUUUGCAAGUUUGAAUUAAACUAUACAGGCCAACGAAAGGCUUCUAAGUUCUACCUUUCUUCUUUUGCGGUGAGGAAUUUUUUUCAAGUUGUAAAUGCCAAGCG